rnacentral:rRNA from 1 species
GCGAACGCUGGCGGCAGGCCUAACACAUGCAAGUCGAACGCACUCUUCGGAGUUAGUGGCGGACGGGUGAGUAACACGUGGGAACGUGCCUUUUGGUUCGGAAUAACUCAGGGAAACUUGUGCUAAUACCGAAUGUGCCCUUCGGGGGAAAGAUUUAUCGCCAUUAGAGCGGCCCGCGUCUGAUUAGCUAGUUGGUGAGGUAACGGCUCACCAAGGCGACGAUCAGUAGCUGGUCUGAGAGGAUGACCAGCCACACUGGGACUGAGACACGGCCCAGACUCCUACGGGAGGCAGCAGUGGGGAAUCUUGCGCAAUGGGCGAAAGCCUGACGCAGCCAUGCCGCGUGAAUGAUGAAGGUCUUAGGAUUGUAAAAUUCUUUCACCGGGGACGAUAAUGACGGUACCCGGAGAAGAAGCCCCGGCUAACUUCGUG